GCUCGGAUUUCUACAAUAUGGAAAAAUUUGGCUGGCUUUCCUCCCCAACCUAGCAACAAGGAGUGCAUGUACUUUGUGAUGAGAUACAUGAGGGAUAUCAUUGAGGAUAAGGACUUAUCAUUGUUUGCUACCAAGUGGGAGAGGAAAGACAACAGCCAAUAUACGUAAGCAUAUAUUGAUGAUAUACGAAAUGAGUGGGCGAAGUUUGUCGUGAAGAGCUAUGUGUAGGCAGGCCAUGAAGUAGGUUUUUGUAGAAGGAAAGCAUCUUUUUUGUGCUUCUCUGCUGGUACAUUUUCAUGCAUCAUAUAUGUGCCAUGUUUUGGAACAAUGUGUAUCAGCUAGAUUUUGAUGUCCAAGUAGAUGGGCAUGUACUAGAAUACUUUUCUUCUUUUAUUGUUGGCUUGAAAUUUGGACAACUUUG